UCUGUGGUUGUGGAUAAAUUCCUCUUUUUCCUAGUCAAAACCUUAAUACUUAAUGCGAUUGAAGAUAACUGGAGUCAUGUGCCAUGCAGUUAAUUCGAUAUAUUGUACAGUGAUGUUCCUCGUUUAGGCUACUCAUAGUUGCGCAUGUAGUUAAGAGUUUAGCCCACUCAUUUUGUACCUGGCAGUGGCAACUACAUUUGACCUUGUGUAUAUUCAUAGAUACACAGAGACGCAUGAGCUGCAUCCAAUAUAUGGUCAUCAUUUAAAAUUUAUAAAUAUUUUGUCUUACCAUUUAAGGCUGGUUGUGAUGCUUAUCAUGGUAGACUCCAGAUAUUGCUUGUAUUACGGCUGCAAUCUUGUUCAUUCUUUCAUCUAUACCCUAACUGGGUCACAAGUUGAAAGUCCCAGCCUUUCCUGGCUGUCGUGUGUGCACAUGCAAACUUAUGUGGAUCUCUACAUGUUUGAAAAUGAAAAAGAGGCACUUUGGAAACUCCAUUAUUUAAACUGAAAUUAUUCAUUUUUCAGUCUGCAACUUGGUGGGAAGAAG
rnacentral:misc_RNA from 1 species